UACGAGGGGAGCUAGCGCUGUUCGGAAUUACUGGGCGUAAAGCGCGCGUAGGCGGUUUUUUAAGUCAGAAGUGAAAGCCCGGGGCUCAACCCCGGAAUUGCCUUUGAGACUGGAAAACUAGAAUCUUGGAGAGGUCAGUGGGAUUCCGAGUGUAGAGGUGAAAUUCGUAGAUAUUCGGAAGAACACCAGUGGCGAAGGCGACUGACUGGACAAGUAUUGACGCUGAGGUGCGAAAGCGUGGGGAGCAAACAGG
rnacentral:rRNA from 1 species